GACGAACGCUGGCGGCGUGCUUAACACAUGCAAGUCGAACGGAAAGGCCCUGCUUUUGUGGGCUGCUCGAGUGGCGAACGGGUAGGUAACACGUGAGUAACCUGCCCUUGACUUUGGGAUAACUUCAGGUAACUGGGGCUAAUACCGGAUAGGGGCUCCUGCUGCAUGGUGGGGGCUGGAAAGUUUGGGCGGUUGGGGAUGGACUCGCGGCUACUCAGCUUGUUGGUGGGGUAGUGGCUUACCAAGGCAGCGACGGGUAGCCGGCCGGAGAGGGUGACCGGCCAGAUUGGGACGGAGAUACGGCCCAGACUCCUACGGGAGGCAGGAGUGGGGAAGAUUGCACAAUGGACGGAAGAAUGAUGCAGCAACGCCGCGCGCGGGAUGACGGACUGCGGGUUGUAAACCGCUUUCGCCUGUGACGAAGCGUGAGUGACGGUAACGGGUAAAGAAGCACCGGCUAACUACGUG
rnacentral:rRNA from 1 species